CCUGUUUAUUAAAAACAUGGCUUUUUGAUGAUAAUUUAAGGUCGGACCUGCCCAAUGAGGAGUUAAAUGGCUGCGGUAAUUUGACCGUGCAAAGGUAGCAUAAUCAUUAGUUUUUUAAUUGGAAGCUGGAAUGAAAGGUUUGAUGAAAAAAUAACUGUCUCUGAUUAAAUUGAUUAGAAUUUUAUUUUUAAGUAAAAAAGCUUAAAUUUGUAUAGAAGACGAGAAGACCCUAUAGAGUUUUAUAUUAAUAAGGAUUUAUGAUUUUUAGAAUUUGCAUUUAAAUUUUUAGAAGUAUUUAGUUGGGGUGAUUGAAAAAUUGGAAGAACUUUUUUUUAAAAAAAACAUUAAUGAAUGAUUAAUUGAUCCUUUAGUUUGAUUAAAAGAUUAAAUUACCUUAGGGAUAACAGCGUAAUUUUUUUUUAGAGAUCUAAUCGAAAAAAAAGAUUGCGACCUCGAUGUUGGAUUAAAAUAUAGGAUUGGUGUAGGAGCUAAUCUAUUAGGUCUGUUCGACCUUUAAAAUUUUACAUGAWCUGAGUUUAAACCGGUGUAA
rnacentral:rRNA from 1 species